UACGGAGGGGGCUAGCGUUGUUCGGAAUUACUGGGCGUAAAGAGCUCGUAGGUGGUUUGUCGCGUUGUUCGUGAAAACCGGAGGCUUAACCUUCGGCGUGCGGGCGAUACGGGCAGACUGGAGUACUGCAGGGGAGACUGGAAUUCCUGGUGUAGCGGUGGAAUGCGCAGAUAUCAGGAGGAACACCGGUGGCGAAGGCGGGUCUCUGGGCAGUAACUGACGCUGAGGAGCGAAAGCGUGGGGAGCGAACAGG
rnacentral:rRNA from 1 species